rnacentral:rRNA from 1 species
AGAGUUUGAUCCUGGCUCAGGACGAACGCUGGCGGCGUGCUUAACACAUGCAAGUCGAGCGAUGAAGUUCCUUCGGGAAUGGAUUAGCGGCGGACGGGUGAGUAACACGUGGGUAACCUGCCUCAUAGAGGGGAAUAGCCUUUCGAAAGGAAGAUUAAUACCGCAUAAGAUUGUAGUACCGCAUGGUACAGCAAUUAAAGGAGUAAUCCGCUAUGAGAUGGACCCGCGUCGCAUUAGCUAGUUGGUGAGGUAACGGCUCACCAAGGCGACGAUGCGUAGCCGACCUGAGAGGGUGAUCGGCCACAUUGGGACUGAGACACGGCCCAGACUCCUACGGGAGGCAGCAGUGGGGAAUAUUGCACAAUGGGGGAAACCCUGAUGCAGCAACGCCGCGUGAGUGAUGACGGUCUUCGGAUUGUAAAGCUCUGUCUUCAGGGACGAUAAUGACGGUACCUGAGGAGGAAGCCACGGCUAACUACGUGCCAGCAGCCGCGGUAAUACGUAGGUGGCAAGCGUUGUCCGGAUUUACUGGGCGUAAAGGAUGCGUAGGCGGAUUUUUAAGUCAGAUGUGAAAUACCCGGGCUCAACUUGGGUGCUGCAUUUGAAACUGGAGAUCUAGAGUGCGGGAGAGGAAAGUGGAAUUCCUAGUGUAGCGGUGAAAUGCGUAGAGAUUAGGAAGAACACCAGUGGCGAAGGCGAUUCUCUGGACCAUAACUGACGCUGAGGCAUGAAAGCGUGGGUAGCAAACAGGAUUAGAUACCCUGGUAGUCCACGCCGUAAACGAUGAGUACUAGGUGUAG